rnacentral:rRNA from 1 species
GAAUUGACGGGGGCCCGCACAAGCGGAGGAACAUGUGGUUUAAUUCGAUGAUACGCGAGGAACCUUACCCGGGCUUGAAAUGCAUUCGACUGGGUCGGAAACGGCCUUUCCCUUCGGGGCGGAUGCGUAGGUGCUGCAUGCUUGUCGUCAGCUCGUGCCGUGAGGUGUCGGCUUAAGUGCCAUAACGAGCGCAACCCCUGUCGUCAGUUGCCAUCGGUAUAAGCCGGGGACUCUGGCGAGACUGCCAUCGUAAGAUGCGAGGAAGGUGGGGAUGACGUCAAAUCAGCACGGCCCUUAUGUCCGGGGCGACACACGUGUUACAAUGGGCGGUACAGCGGGAAGCUACCCGGCGACGGGGAGCCGAUCCCGAAAUCCGCCCACAGUUCGGAUCGGAGUCUGCAACUCGACUCCGUGAAGUCGGAUUCGCUAGUAAUCGCGCAUCAGCCACGGCGCGGUGAAUACGUUCCCGGGCCUUGUACACACCG